UCCUUGACAGGUGGCGUCCCAGAAAUGUAACUACAACUACGGCACUACGGCCAUGAUGAUGUUUUGUUUGUCUUUUCUUUUUAUUUUUACUGUUUUAUUUGGAUUUAGGGCACUCCCAAUCGGUUUUGUUUUUACUUUUUCUGUAGAAUGGCGUGAUUAGAAUGCUACUGAUGAGAGAAGAUAAUAUAAUAAUAAGCUGUUUAAAAGUGGAAAUGUUACAUCUGCAGAUGUAUUCUCCCAAGACAUUCUACAAGCAGACAUUUUUUGAGCAUUAUAAAGUUCAAUGAAAACCAAACAACAAAAAUUCAACUACACAAAUGACCCAUGGUCACAACAAUCAAAUGAAGAAUGCCUAAUACAGCUCUCCAUACUUAAAAAUACAAAUCUGUGAUUCUCCUAACACCAUGAAAGUGUAUCCUCCACAACUAAGGAAUGGUAGUAUACUUUUGAUGCAACUAUUGGAGUUCUGAAGUACCGAACUUACAUUUGGAAAGUACCUAUGAGAUCCUUCGUCCUCCGACGUUAUAAUUUUGUAAGUAUGUACCUAAUAACAU
rnacentral:lncRNA from 1 species